UACGUAGGGGGCUAGCGUUGUCCGGAUUUAUUGGGCGUAAAGAGCGUGUAGGCGGCCAAGUAGGUCCGGAUGUGAAAACUCGAGGCUUAACCUCGAGAUGUCAUCGGAAACCAUUUGGCUAGAGUCCGGAAAGAGGGAAAGUGGGAAUUCCUGGGUGUAGCGGUGAAAUGCGCAGAUAUCAGGAGGAACACCGGUGGCGAAGGCGGCUCUCUGGACCUGUCCUGACGCUCGAGGCGACGAAAGCUAGGGGAGCAAACAGG
rnacentral:rRNA from 1 species